rfam:Pseudomonas fluorescens SBW25 complete genome
UUUAAUGGUGGCUGUGCGCAGGGCGCCCUUGGGUGCGCCGGAUUUUGCCUUUUGGCCGGUCGACUAACCUGCGUACAGCCGCCACCCUA